rnacentral:rRNA from 1 species
CCUAUGGGAUGCAGCAGUGGGGAAUAUUGGACAAUGGGCGCAAGCCUGAUCCAGCAAUGCCGCGUGAGUGAUGAAGGCCUUAGGGUUGUAAAGCUCUUUCGGCGGGGACGAUGAUGACGGUACCCGCAGAAGAAGCCCCGGCUAACUUCGUGCCAGCAGCCGCGGUAAUACGAAGGGGGCAAGCGUUGUUCGGAAUUACUGGGCGUAAAGGGCGCGCAGGCGGCCUGACAAGUCAGAUGUGAAAGCCCCGGGCUCAACCUGGGAAUAGCAUUUGGGACUGUCGGGCUAGAGAUCGGGAGAGGAGAGUGGAAUUCCCAGUGUAGAGGUGAAAUUCGUAGAUAUUGGGAAGAACACCGGUGGCGAAGGCGGCUCUCUGGACCGAUACUGACGCUGAGGCGCGAAAGCGUGGGGAGCAAACAGGAUUAGAUACCCAAGUAGUCC